rnacentral:rRNA from 1 species
AAACCAGCACCUCAAGUGGUCAGGAGGAUUAUUGGGCCUAAAGCAUCCGUAGCCUGUUCUGUAAGUUUCCGGUUAAAUCCAUUAGCUCAACUAAUGGGCCGCCGAAAAUACUGCAAAACUAGGGAGUGGGAGAGGUAGACGGUACUCGGUAGGAAGGGGUAAAAUCCUUUGAUCUAUUGAUGACCACCUGUGGCGAAGGCGGUCUACCAGAACACGUUCGACGGUGAGGGAUGAAAGCUGGGGGAGCAAACCGGAUUAGAAACCCGAGUAGUCC